rnacentral:rRNA from 1 species
GAACGCUAGCUACAGGCUUAACACAUGCAAGUCGAGGGGAAACGAUAUUGGAAGCUUGCUUCCGAUAGGCGUCGACCGGCGCACGGGUGAGUAACGCGUAUCCAACCUGCCCAUCACUUGGGGAUAACCUUGCGAAAGUAAGACUAAUACCCAAUGACGUCUCUAGAAGACAUCUGAAGGAGAUUAAAGAGAGCAAUCUUGGUUACAGACGAGCAUGCGCUCCAUUAGCCAGUUGGCGGGGUAACGGCCCACCAAGGCGACGAUGGAUAGGGGGUUCUGAGAGGAAGGUCCCCCACAUUGGAACUGAGACACGGUCCAAACUCCUACGGGAGGCAGCAGUGAGGAAUAUUGGUCAAUGGUCGGCAGACUGAACCAGCCAAGUCGCGUGAGGGAAGACGGCCCUACGGGUUGUAAACCUCUUUUGUCGGAGAGUAAAGUGCGCUACGCGUAGCGUAUUGCAAGUAUCCGAGGAAAAAGCAUCGGCUAACUCCGUG